UACGUAGGGUGCAAGCGUUGUCCGGAAUUAUUGGGCGUAAAGAGCUCGUAGGCGGUCUGUCGCGUCUGCUGUGAAAAUCCAGGGCUCAACCCUGGACCUGCAGUGGGUACGGGGCAGACUAGAGUGCGGUAGGGGAGAUCGGAAUUCCUGGUGUAGCGGUGAAAUGCGCAGAUAUCAGGAGGAACACCGAUGGCGAAGGCAGGUCUCUGGGCCACUACUGACGCUGAGAAGCGAAAGCAUGGGGAGCGAACAGG
rnacentral:rRNA from 1 species